rnacentral:tRNA from 1 species
CCUGGUGGCUCAGACAGUAGAGCGUCUGCCUGCAAUGCAGGAGACCCGGGUUUGAUCCCUGGGUCAGGA